GUCACACCUGUACCUUAACUGUACAUUCUGGGCUUAGUAGGUUGAUUCACUCAAGUACUUUGAAAACUAUUAAAGAUCUCUGAACUGAGUCACUGGCUGCUGGUACAAUCAGAGUCUCUGUCACCAUGAAGAAAAGAACAUGCCUGGGUUGCCCACAGGAACCAGGAGAAGGAUGGGAGACAGGUGAACAGACAGAGGCUCCCUGACCAAGUCCAGCCUAGAUGUCAAGACAGCUGCAGACAUGGCACCUCUGUCAUAGGAUCCCCACUGCCAAUGGGUCUGUGAAAGAAGAGGCAGUUCUUACAUCCCACAUAUAUACAGAUGAUUCCAGAAGCAGAAUGAAGGUGACUCAGCACUUUACAAUCAUUUGCUGGAAGUGAUUCUAACAGAGGUCGUGUGUCCAACAGAGGUUAGUCCCAGAAUUGGGGUCACCAAGGUGCCCUCGGCAGUCUCUCUUCCAGGCAGAACGGACAUACCAGAUGACUCAUCUGAAAGUUUACAAGCAGAAUUUCUUCAAACAUUCCUUGCCGUCAUGCCUGAAAAUUAGCAUUUUUAUAGUCUCUUAUUUCAUGGACACCAAAACUGGAGGUAUUGUUUUCGCAAGAAAAAAGCAAACUAUUUUUAGCUUGCAGAGGGAACAAGAUGAUAUAUGCUGCGGUUGUCAACUAUCUUUUAAAAUGUAUGUAGCACACUGGAACUCAUAAAUAUUUAAAAGGACUAAAUAAUUAUCUAAUGUUCCCCAGCCUUCUUUUUCAAAUGAUCAUUUCCACAGGGAGCAAGGGAGCAUUUGUUCUCUGUCAACUGUCCAGACACAAUUAUCAUCUUCAAAAACGUGUCCCUCCUGUUUGUUGCUGGUUUUGUCAUUUUUGACUCACUACUC
ensembl:lncRNA